rnacentral:rRNA from 1 species
GUAGGGCGCAAGCGUUAAUCGGAAUUACUGGGCGUAAAGCGUGCGCAGGCGGUUUUGUAAGUCUGUCGUGAAAGCCCCGGGGGCUCAACCUGGGAAUUGCGAUGGAGACUGCAAGGCUUGAAUCUGGCAGAGGGGGGUAGAAUUCCACGUGUAGCAGUGAAAUGCGUAGAGAUGUGGAGGAACACCGAUGGCGAAGGCAGCCCCCUGGGUCAAGAUUGACGCUCAUGCACGAAAGCGUGGGGAGCAAACAGGAUUAGAUACCCUGGUAGUCCACGCCCUAAACGAUGUCUACUAGUUGUCGGGUUUUAAUUAACUUGGUAACGCAGCUAACGCGUGAAGUAGACCGCCUGGGGAGUACGGUCGCAAAGAUUAA